UCAGUGGGACUGAUUUGGAUUUGGUUUUGUUUGCAGUGUUAUCACUGUCUCUGUAAUUAUUCUUUGUCCACAUUUGUAAGGCAGAAUAAUUUAAGCUAUUAUUUAAGUUUAAUUCUAGGAAUGACUUAGCAUGUCAGUCUGUGGGAAUUUUUUGUAAAACUGUUUGUUGUUGGCGUGUAGGGGUGGCCAUAGGAGUGGGGGCCGGGGCACUGGUGCUGGCGGGUGGUGUCAAGGCCUGCUAGGGGCGAAGGCACCCUCCACAAAACCUUUUCAGCCAGGUCUGGAUAUGCCUGACCUUGUGAGGUAAGAACUUCAGCGGAAGCCUUCCUUCCUUAAUAAAGCCUCGUGGUAGAACAUCUUUUAAACUCAUUGGAAUGGAAGGAUGCAAGCUUUACCUUGGAACCCAAUGUGAAUGGAAGAGAUCCGUCAUUAUGCAAAUAAUAUGACAUUCUGAACAGACAGUAAAAACAGCUCUCAUCUCAGAGAACCCAGUGCUUGUGUCACAGUAUGAAAAAUUAGAUGCUGGGGAACAGCAUUUAAUGAAUGAAGCCUUGCAGCCAACCAGUGAUCUCUGUGAACCCAUUACCUUGCAUUCCAGAUCAGAUUGGAUCACUUCUCAUCCUGAGGCUCCUGAAGACUUUGAACAGUUUUUCAGUGAUCCUUGCAGAAAGACUCCUUCUCCAGAGAAGCACAGCAUUUGUAUACAGUCCAUUGGAUCUUUAGGCAACACCAAGAUUAUCAGGGAAGAAUAUAUUAAAUGGCUCAAGGGCUCCUGUGAAGCUUUUUUUAAUGGCCUGACAGUACAACUCCUAGAACCAGUUCCUGUUUCUGCGACAAGGUGUCCCUUUAGAGUCAAUGAUAACACACAGAUUCAUGCAGGGCACAUUCUGAAGUUCUUAAAGAAGAAACCUGAAGAUGCCUUCUGUGUUGUGGGGAUAAUAGCGAUUGAUCUUCACCCAAGAGACUCCCGGAAUUUUGUCUUUGGACAGGCCUCUUUGACAGAUGGUGUGAGGAUAUUCAGUUUUGCCAGGUAUGGCAGUGAUUUUUACAGUUUUUGCCAUGAAGGCAAAGUGAAGAACCUCCAGAAAACAUCUUCAAAUGAGUAUUCUGUUUUUGAUAACUAUUAUAUUCCCGAAAUAACUAGUGUUUUGCUGCUUCGAUCUUGUAAGACUUUAACCCACGAGAUUGGACACAUAUUUGGACUGCGACACUGCCAGUGGCUCACGUGGCUAAUGCAAGGUUCCAACCACUUGGAAGAAGCUGACCGGCCCCCUCUAAACCUUUGCCCUAUGUGCUUACGCAAGUUGCAGUGUGCUACUGGUGUCAGCAUUGAAGAAAGAUAAAGCGCUGGUGAGAUGGAUCCAUGAUGAAUCUGCUGACAAACUUGGAAUAACUCCGAAACACAGUCUGGAUGAUAGUGGGAAUUUAACAAAACUCGUUGAAGCUUUCAAUGAGUGGACAGAGUGGAUAAUGAAAUGCCGUGCUGUUCUCCAAAAAUAAGGACCUUCAAUUAGGAGUAAUUAAAAUAUACUUGCACAUUCUGCUUUCAUUUGGGUGGAGUACUACAUUGGAAUAAACUAUUUACUUAUUCUGUGCUGUGUCCAAGUAACAGGACAGAACCUUUUUUAAAGCAUCUGAAUUGAAAUGAGACUCAUUUUGAAUAAUAAACAUUCUAUAAACUGUCAAAAAAAUAAACCUUUUUGUUGUUUGUUAAAAUUUUAUUCUCUGUCAUCUUGGAGCCUGUGGUUGUCUGCUGGGAAUAGGACUUCUAAAAGGCAAAUAUGUCUGGAAGGCUGUGGUCUAAGGCCGUUUUUGCUGGCUC